UACGAAGGGGGCUAGCGUUGUUCGGAUUUACUGGGCGUAAAGCGCACGUAGGCGGAUCGUUAAGUGAGGGGUGAAAUCCCAGGGCUCAACCCUGGAACUGCCUUUCAUACUGGCGAUCUUGAGUCCGGAAGAGGUGAGUGGAACUCCUAGUGUAGAGGUGGAAUUCGUAGAUAUUAGGAAGAACACCAGUGGCGAAGGCGGCUCACUGGCUCAUUACUGACGCUCAGGCGCGAUAGCGUGGGGAUCAAACAGG
rnacentral:rRNA from 1 species